rnacentral:rRNA from 1 species
UACAGAGGUCUCAAGCGUUGUUCGGAUUCAUUGGGCGUAAAGGGUGUGUAGGUGGCGCGCUAAGUCGGGUGUGAAAUUUCGGAGCUUAACUCCGAAACUGCAUUCGAUACUGGCGUGCUUGAGGACUGGAGAGGAGACUGGAAUUCAUGGUGUAGCAGUGAAAUGCGUAGAGAUCAUGAGGAAGACCAGUGGUGAAGGCGGGUCUCUGGACAGUUCCUGACACUGAGACACGAAGGCCAGGGGAGCAAACGGG